UUAAGGAUGGUCCCGCGUCCAUUAGCUUGUUGGUAGGGUAAUGGCCUACCAAGGCUACGAUGGAUAGCUGGUCUGAGAGGAUGUCAGCCACACUGGGACUGAGAUACGGCCCAG
rnacentral:rRNA from 1 species